rnacentral:tRNA from 4 species
GCCCCAGUAGCUCAGUUGGAUAGAGCAAUUGCCUUCUAAGCAGUAGGUCGCAGGUUCGAGUCCUGUCUGGGGCACCA